rnacentral:misc_RNA from 1 species
AAGUCGUAACAAGGUUUCCGUAGGUGAACCUGCGGAAGGAUCAUUAAAGAAUACCUGGACUCCGGUCCUCGUCGAGAAAGGUCGUCCCGGGUGGCCCCAGGUCCCGGGGCUUCCCCCUCUUACCCUCUGUUUACUCUACCUCUGUUGCUUUGGCACAGCCUCGCCGGUGCUGCGGUCGUUGGGCUCUGCCGGAGGGCCCCAACUCGUGGAUAGUCUAUGUUUGUCUGAGUACGAUAUAAUCGUUUACAA